rnacentral:lncRNA from 10 species
CCUGAACACAUACCCUACCUUACUUCCCAGUUACUUUGUGUUUAACUAGUCCCUAAUUCCAUUGAUGACAUUAUGGUCUACCUGGUCUUCCAAACUAGAAAAACCACAUCAUCCAUUACUUCUUAUUCUUAGUUCUCCAGAUCCAAAGUCCUAACUGUUUUAUAAACAGUCUCUAAAUCUUUUCUCCAUUCUCACUGUUACUAGUUUAUUUAUUAUUUUGAGACAGGGUCUUGCUCUGUUGCCCAGGCUGGAGUACAGUAGCACAAUCUUGGCUCACUGCAACCUCCUCCUCCCCAGUUCAGGUGAUUCUCCUGCCUCAGCCUCCUGAGUAGCUGGGAUUACAGGAAUGCACCACCAUACCUGGCUAAUUUUUGCAUUUUUAGUAGAGAUGGGGUUUCCCCAUGUUGGCCAGGCUGGUCUCAAACUCCUGGCCUCAAGUGAUCCACCAGCCUAGGCCUCCCAAAGUCUGGGAUUACAGGCGUGAGCCACCACGCCCAGCCUCACUGUUACUAGUUUAGUUCAGGUCUCAUAAUUUCUGGUCCCUCCCACUAUCUUAAUAGUCUCUCCACUAGUUUUUCUACCUCCAACGGCCCGUCUCCAGUCUAUUCUUUGUUUUUGUUUUUUUUUGAGGUGGAAUCUCACUCUGUCGCCAAGGCUGGAGUGCAGUGGCGCAGUCUCGGCUCACUGCAACUUUCACCUCCCAGGUUCAAGCAAUUCUCCUGCCUCAGCUUCCUGAGUAGCUGGGAUUACAGGUGCCUGCCACCACACCUGGCUAAUUUUUGUAUUUUUAGUAGCGAUGGGGUUUCCCCAUAUUGGCCAGGCUGGUCUCGAACUCUUGACCUCAGGUGAUCCGCCCGGCCUCAGCCUCCCAAAGUGCUGGGAUUACAGGCCUGAGCCACCACACCCGGCCCAGUCUAUUCUUCAGACAGUUGCCGGGACUUUUCCAAAGUGUAGUCAACACCUCAGGUAAACUAGUCCCAAUUUACCCAUUCCUGCUCUCUCCUCCCAGUCCUAUUCCCUGUACUACUUCUGAAUCUUUGCACAUAUCUGUCCUUCUACCUGUUAAACUUAUUCAUCCUUCCCAACCUGGCUCAAAUAUGAAGCUUUCACAUCACUUAUCUUUGGCAGAGUUGGUGGUUAUGCCCCUUGGCCUUCGUAGCAUUGGCUAUAAAAUCUGUUUACAUGUCUGUCUCCCCAGCCAGGCUGUAUUUGUAUUCCUAGUGACUGUCAGGAACAACUGCCUGGAAGGCAGGGAUGUCACCUAGGCAUCUCUUCAUCGUCCCCUCCCUCCCAGCAGAAAUCUGUCUGUGGGGGGUGCUAAGUAAAAAGAUAUGAAUAUAUGCAGAGGGACAAAAAGGAAAAGAUAACAAGGAGGGCUCGGUCAAGGAUCUGAAUCCCCCACGGUCCUUAUGACAAUAUCACACAAAUCCAGGCUUGGAUAAUAACGACUGUAUCACACAGAUCCAGGCUUAGAAAAGCAACAACUGUCAACUGUUAAACGCUUAUUCUGUGCUAGGACCUGUGCUAUGUAAGCGCUUUACUUGCAUCGUUAUUCCACUUAAUCCCUUCCACAACUCCGUAAGCACCAUUAACUCCACUUUGCAGACAGGGGAACUGAGGUUCAGAGGGGCAAAAAGCCUGGCCCAAGCUUGUGACACAGCCAGCCUGGGGGCACAGGGGCAAUUCGA